rnacentral:rRNA from 1 species
UACGUAGGGUGCGAGCGUUGUCCGGAAUUAUUGGGCGUAAAGAGCUUGUAGGCGGUUUGUCGCGUCUGCCGUGAAAGCCCAGGGCUUAACCCUGGGUCUGCGGUGGGUACGGGCAGACUAGAGUGUGGUAGGGGAGACUGGAAUUCCUGGUGUAGCGGUGAAAUGCGCAGAUAUCAGGAGGAACACCGAUGGCGAAGGCAGGUCUCUGGGCCACUACUGACGCUGAGAAGCGAAAGCAAGGGGAGCAAACAGG